rnacentral:lncRNA from 1 species
CCAGGACCCUGGGAUCAUGACCUGAGCCAAAGGCAGACGCUUAACGACUGAGCCACCCAGGCGCCCCAAGAUGAAUUUUGAAACUGGGAAAAAGAAACUGACAAUCCAAGAUGGACAAGCAAACCAAAUUAAAUACUUCGAAAAGAUCACACAUGGCCCAGCAGUGCAGCAGAAGUGUUGGCCAAGAGAGCUUCAUGGAGUUAACUGAACCAAUAUAGUGAAAUAUAUUGAAUUUGGAAAGAUAAGGGAAGA